AACGAACGCUGGCGGCAGGCUUAACACAUGCAAGUCGAACGCCCCGCAAGGGGAGUGGCAGACGGGUGAGUAACGCGUGGGAAUCUACCUAGUUCUACGGAACAACUGAGGGAAACUUCAGCUAAUACCGUAUACGCCCUACGGGGGAAAGAUUUAUCGGAAUUAGAUGAGCCCGCGUAAGAUUAGCUAGUUGGUGGGGUAAUGGCCUACCAAGGCGACGAUCUUUAGCUGGUCUGAGAGGAUGAUCAGCCACACUGGGACUGAGACACGGCCCAGACUCCUACGGGAGGCAGCAGUGGGGAAUAUUGGACAAUGGGCGCAAGCCUGAUCCAGCCAUGCCGCGUGAGUGAUGAAGGCCUUAGGGUUGUAAAGCUCUUUCAGUGGGGAAGAUAAUGACGGUACCCACAGAAGAAGCCCCGGCUAACUUCGUGCCAGCCGCCGCCGUAACAC
rnacentral:rRNA from 1 species